UCAAAUGGGGUAAUUGGCGCCCUGCGCAGGAUUUGCUUGUGAAUGGGUGUGCUUGAUUCAAUCACAGGAAAAUUCUGUGCGGGGAGUUGGUUUUGUCACCACA